UACGGAGGAUCCAAGCGUUAUCCGGAUUCAUUGGGUUUAAAGGGUGCGUAGGUGGAAUAGUAAGUCAGUGGUGAAAGCCUGUUGCUUAACAACAGAACUGCCAUUGAUACUGCUAAUCUUGAGUACAUUUGAAGUGGGCGGAAUGUGUCAUGUAGCGGUGAAAUGCUUAGAUAUGACACAGAACACCGAUUGCGAAGGCAGCUCACUAAACUGUAACUGACACUGAGGCACGAAAGCGUGGGGAUCAAACAGG
rnacentral:rRNA from 1 species